UACGUACUCCCUCCGUUUCAUAAUUCUUGUCAAAAUAUUACACGUAUCUAGUCACUUUUUAAGAAUAGAAACGUACAUUUUGGGACAUUUGAGACAAGAAUUAUGGAACUGAGGGAGUACUCC
rnacentral:pre_miRNA from 1 species